AGCUCAUGAUCGAAGCCCCAGUAAACGGCGGCCGUAACUAUAACGUACCUAAGGUAGCGAAAUACCUUGUCGGGUAAGUUCCGACCAGCACCAAUGGCGUAAUGAUGGCCAGGCUGUCUCCACCCGAGACUCAGUGAAAUUGAACUCGCUGUGUAGAUGCAGUGUACCCGCGGCAAGACGGAAAGACCCCGUGAACCUUUACUAUAGCUUGACACUGAACAUUGAGCCUGGAUGUGUAGGAUAGGUGGGAGGCUUUGAAGUGUGGACGC
rnacentral:rRNA from 1 species